rnacentral:siRNA from 1 species
AAAGGUAUUGUUGAUUGCUAUCU